GACGAACGCUGGCGGCGUGCUUAACACAUGCAAGUCGAACGAAGUGGCGAACGGGUGAGUAACGCGUCAUCAACCUGCACUUCAGAGGGGGACAACAGUUGGAAACGACUGCUAAUACCGCAUACUGAAGGAGGGGAUUGCGUGUGAUUGUCUAGUGGGAGGUGGAACCGCCCACCAAGGCGAUGAUAAGUAGCCGUACUUGUGGGAUUGACGGCCAAAUUGGGACUGAGACACGGCCCAGACUCCUACGGGAGGCAGCAGUGGGGAAUCUUCCGCAAUGGACGAAAGUCUGACGGAGCAACGCCGCGUGAGUGAUGACGGCCUUCGGGUUGUAAAGCUCUGUUAAUCGGGACGCGGUACCGGAAUAGAAAGCCACGGCUAACUACGUGCCAGCAGCCGCGGUAAUAC
rnacentral:rRNA from 1 species